AAUAUUGGACAAUGGGCGAAAGCCUGAUCCAGCCAUGCCGCGUGUGUGAAGAAGGUCUUCGGAUGGUAAAGCACUUUAAGAUGGGAGGAAGGGCAGUAGGGUAAUACCUUGCUGUUUUGACGUUACCGACAGAAUAAGCACCGGCUAACUUCGUGCCAGCCGCCGCGGUAAUACGAAGGGUGCAAGAGUUAAUCGGAAAUACUGGGCGUAAAGCGCGUGUAGGUGGUUUGUUCAAUUGGAAGUGGAAGCCCCGGGCUCAACCUGGGAACUGCUUUCAAAACUGGCAAGAUAGAGUAUGGCGGAGGGUGGUAGCAUUUCCUGUGUAGCAGUGAAAUGCGUAGAUAUAGGAAGGAACACCAGUGGGGAAGGAGACUCUCUGGUCUGUAGUUGACGAUGAGGAUCGAAAGAGGGGGGAGCAAACAG
rnacentral:rRNA from 1 species